rfam:Beggiatoa sp. 4572_84 ex4572_84_scaffold_20833, whole genome shotgun sequence.
GUAACUGUCCAUAAAUAACUUAGUCAACUAAGUUAUUUUAAAGUUACCCGCCUUAGUUCUUCGUGAACUACGUUAGGGACGAAAAUAUAGGCACUCUUGUGAUGCUUCUCCAGUCCGAUACCCUGCGGAGAGUUAUUAAACAAGUCUGAUGGAAAGGCUAGUGUGGCUCUCCGGAAAAAACCGUCCUAUAACAUUGGCUAGGAGACCAUUAC